GGGCCCGCACAAGCAGUGGAGUAUGUGGUUUAAUUCGAAGCAACGCGAAGAACCUUACCAGGUCUUGACAUCCAAUGACGCAUGCAGAGAUGCAUGUUUCCUUCGGGACAUUGAGACAGGUGGUGCAUGGUUGUCGUCAGCUCGUGUCGUGAGAUGUUGGGUUAAGUCCCGCAACGAGCGCAACCCUUAUUGUCAGUUACUACGCAAGAGGACUCUGACGAGACUGCCGUUGACAAAACGGAGGAAGGUGGGGAUGACGUCAAAUCAUCAUGCCCUUUAUGACCUGGGCCACACACGUACUACAAUGGCUAUUAACAGAGAGAAGCAAGACCGCAAGGUGGAGCAAACCUCAUAAAAAUAGUCUCAGUUCGGAUUGGGGGCUGCAACCCGCCCCCAUGAAGCCGGAAUUGCUAGUAAUCGCGGAUCAGCAUGCCGCGGUGAAUACGUUCCCGGGCCUU
rnacentral:rRNA from 1 species